rfam:Hordeum vulgare subsp. vulgare, WGS project CAJW01000000 data, contig: morex_contig_139135
UAAGUACUCCCUCCGUCCCAAANNNNUUGUCUUAGAUUUGUUUAGAUAUGUAUGUAUCUAGUCAAGUUUUAGUAUUUAGAUACAUCCAUUUUUAGACAAAGUUAAGACAAGAAUUUUGGGACGGAGGGAGUACUAC